rnacentral:rRNA from 1 species
UACAGAGGGGGCAAGCGUUAUUCGGAAUUAUUGGGCGUAAAGGGCGCGUAGGCGGCAUCGCAAGUGGAAGGUGAAAGCCCCCGGCUUAACCGGGGAGGGUCGUUGGGGACGGCGGGGCUUGAGGGCGGGAGAGGGCGGUGGAAUUCCCGGUGUAGUGGUGAUAUGCGUAGAUAUCGGGAGGAACACCUGUGGCGAAGGCGGCUUUCUGGGCCUUACCUGACGCUGAGACGCGAAAGCGUGGGGAGCGAACCGG